UACAGAGGUCUCAAGCGUUGUUCGGAUUCAUUGGGCGUAAAGGGUGCGUAGGUGGCGCGCUAAGUCAGGUGUGAAAUUUCGGAGCUUAACUCCGAAACUGCAUUUGAUACUGGCGUGCUUGAGGACUGGAGAGGAGACUGGAAUUUACGGUGUAGCAGUGAAAUGCGUAGAGAUCGUAAGGAAGACAAGUGGCGAAGGCGGGUCUCUGGACAGUUCCUGACACUGAGGCACGAAGGCCAGGGGAGCAAACGGG
rnacentral:rRNA from 1 species